rnacentral:rRNA from 1 species
UGGGGAAUAUUGCACAAUGGGCGCAAGCCUGAUGCAGCCAUGCCGCGUGUGUGAAGAAGGCCUUCGGGUUGUAAAGCACUUUCAGCGGGGAGGAAGGCGUUAAGGUUAAUAACCUUGGCGAUUGACGUUACCCGCAGAAGAAGCACCGGCUAACUCCGUGCCAGCAGCCGCGGUAAUACGGAGGGUGCAAGCGUUAAUCGGAAUUACUGGGCGUAAAGCGCACGCAGGCGGUCUGUCAAGUCAGAUGUGAAAUCCCCGGGCUCAACCUGGGAACUGCAUUCGAAACUGGCAGGCUAGAGUCUUGUAGAGGGGGGUAGAAUUCCAGGUGUAGCGGUGAAAUGCGUAGAGAUCUGGAGGAAUAUCGGUGGCGAAGGCGGCCCCCUGGACAAAGACUGACGCUCAGGUGCGAAAGCGUGGGGAGCAAACAGG